UAAUACAUGCAAGUCGAGCGGACAGAUGGGAGCUUGCUCCCUGAUGUUAGCGGCGGACGGGUGAGUAACACGUGGGUAACCUGCCUGUAAGACUGGGAUAACUCCGGGAAACCGGGGCUAAUACCGGAUGCUUGUUUGAACCGCAUGGUUCAAACAUAAAAGGUGGCUUCGGCUACCACUUACAGAUGGACCCGCGGCGCAUUAGCUAGUUGGUGAGGUAACGGCUCACCAAGGCAACGAUGCGUAGCCGACCUGAGAGGGUGAUCGGCCACACUGGGACUGAGACACGGCCCAGACUCCUACGGGAGGCAGCAGUAGGGAAUCUUCCGCAAUGGACGAAAGUCUGACGGAGCAACGCCGCGUGAGUGAUGAAGGUUUUCGGAUCGUAAAGCUCUGUUGUUAGGGAAGAACAAGUACCGUUCGAAUAGGGCGGUACCUUGACGGUACCUAACCAGAAAGCCACGGCUAACUACGUGCCAGCAGCCGCGGUAAUACGUAGGUGGCAAGCGUUGUCCGGAAUUAUUGGGCGUAAAGGGCUCGCAGGCGGUUUCUUAAGUCUGAUGUGAAAGCCCCCGGCUCAACCGGGGAGGGUCAUUGGAAACUGGGGAACUUGAGUGCAGAAGAGGAGAGUGGAAUUCCACGUGUAGCGGUGAAAUGCGUAGAGAUGUGGAGGAACACCAGUGGCGAAGGCGACUCUCUGGUCUGUAACUGACGCUGAGGAGCGAAAGCGUGGGGAGCGAACAGGAUUAGAUACCCUGGUAGUCCACGCCGUAAACGAUGAGUGA
rnacentral:rRNA from 1 species